rnacentral:rRNA from 1 species
CUAACACAUGCAAGUCGAGCGAUUUGCUUCGGUAAAGAGCGGCGGACGGGUGAGUAACGCGUGGGUAACCUGCCCUGUACACACGGAUAACAUACCGAAAGGUAUGCUAAUACGAGAUAAUAUACUUUUAUCGCAUGGUAGAAGUAUCAAAGCUCCGGCGGUACAGGAUGGACCCGCGUCUGAUUAGCUAGUUGGUAAGGUAACGGCUUACCAAGGCGACGAUCAGUAGCCGACCUGAGAGGGUGAUCGGCCACAUUGGAACUGAGACACGGUCCAAACUCCUACGGGAGGCAGCAGUGGGGAAUAUUGCACAAUGGGCGAAAGCCUGAUGCAGCAACGCCGCGUGAGCGAUGAAGGCCUUCGGGUCGUAAAGCCCUGUCCUCAAGGAAGAUAAUGACGGUACUUGAGGAGGAAGCCCCGGCUAACUACGUGCCAGCAGCCGCGGUAAUACGUAGGGGGCUAGCGUUAUCCGGAAUUACUGGGCGUAAAGGGUGCGUAGGUGGUUUCUUAAGUCAGAGGUGAAAGGCUACGGCUCAACCGUAGUAAGCCUUUGAAACUGGGAAACUUGAGUGCAGGAGAGGAGAGUGGAAUUCCUAGUGUAGCGGUGAAAUGCGUAGAUAUUAGGAGGAACACCAGUUGCGAA